rnacentral:rRNA from 1 species
UACGUAGGGGGCUAGCGUUGUCCGGAUUUAUUGGGCGUAAAGAGCGUGUAGGCGGCCAUUUAGGUCCGGUGUGAAAACUCGCGGCUUAACCUCGAGAUGUCAUCGGAAACCAUUUGGCUAGAGUCCGGAAGAGGAGAGUGGAAUUCCUGGUGUAGCGGUGAAAUGCGCAGAUAUCAGGAAGAACACCAAUGGCGAAAGCAGCUCUCUGGGACGGUACUGACGCUGAGACGCGAAAGCGUGGGGAGCGAACAGG